AUUGAACGCUGGCGGCAGGCCUAACACAUGCAAGUCGAACGAGUGGCGGACGGGUGAGUAAUGUCUGGGAAACUGCCUGACGGAGGGGGAAAACUACUGGAAACGGUAGCUAAUACCGCAUACCAUCAGAUGUGCCCAGAUGGGAUUAGCUUGUUGGUGGGGUAACGGCUCACCAAGGCGACGAUCCCUAGCUGGUCUGAGAGGAUGACCAGCCACACUGGAACUGAGACACGGUCCAGACUCCUACGGGAGGCAGCAGUGGUGAAUAUUGCACAAUGGGCGCAAGCCACAUGCAGCCAGGCCGCGUGUAUGAAGAAGGCCUUCGGGUUGUAAAGUACUUUCGGCGGUGAGGCGUUACCCGCAGAGGAAGCGCCGGCUAACUACGUGCCAGCCGCCGCGGUAAUAC
rnacentral:rRNA from 1 species